rnacentral:rRNA from 1 species
AGAGCGAACGCUGGCGGCAGGCUUAACACAUGCAAGUCGAGCGGGCAUAGCAAUAUGUCAGCGGCAGACGGGUGAGUAACGCGUGGGAACGUACCUUUUGGUUCGGAACAACACAGGGAAACUUGUGCUAAUACCGGAUAAGCCCUUACGGGGAAAGAUUUAUCGCCGAAAGAUCGGCCCGCGUCUGAUUAGCUAGUUGGUGAGGUAAUGGCUCACCAAGGCGACGAUCAGUAGCUGGUCUGAGAGGAUGAUCAGCCACAUUGGGACUGAGACACGGCCCAAACUCCUACGGGAGGCAGCAGUGGGGAAUAUUGGACAAUGGGCGCAAGCCUGAUCCAGCCAUGCCGCGUGAGUGAUGAAGGCCCUAGGUUGUAAAGCUCUUUCGCCCGCGACGAUGAUGACGGUAGCGGGAGAAGAAGCACCGGCUAACUUCGUGCCAGCAGCCGC